rnacentral:rRNA from 1 species
UACGUAGGGUGCGAGCGUUAAUCGGAAUUACUGGGCGUAAAGCGUGCGCAGGCGGUUUUGUAAGACAGGCGUGAGAUCCCCGGGCUCAACCUAUGAAUUGCGCUUGUGACUGCAAGGCUAGAGUAUGGCAGAGGGGGGUGGAAUUCCACGUGUAGCAGUGAAAUGCGUAGAGAUGUGGAGGAACACCAAUGGCGAGGGCAGCCCCCUGGGCCAAUACUGACGCUCAUGCACGAAAGCGUGGGUAGCAAACAGG